UAUAUUAGUAGAAGAAAGUAAAUCUGAGUAAAAUAUUUGGACCCGAAAUACCGAACGGAACUUGAUUUGAAAGCAAUAUUAAACACAAACUAAAACUGCUUAAAUACUCAAAUGGAUCUAAAAGUUAAAUAUCUUGAUAACCAGACCCAAAUCCUAUCCAAACUUGAAUAUUUUGAAUACCGAAAAUAUCUAAACUACAAUUAUAUAGUUAAAUAUUAUAAUUAAUUUAAAUUUUAUAUUUAUUAGAUAUUCAAUAAUAUGAAAAUAUCCAAAAUAACAAAACAUGUUCAAAAUGCUGAAAAGUUAUAUUUUUUUAUCCAUUUAAAUAGUUAAACUGGACAAUUUUUUAAAUGUAAAUUUAAGUAUUUAGUCUUAAAUUAUUCAAUUUUUUUUGUUUUUUUCAUUAUUCAAAUUUUAUAUUAUUUUAAUUUUCGGAUUUUGAGGAUUAAGCAUAUUUGAAUUUUUGUUUAAAAGAUUAUUACAUAAUUAAAAUGGAUACCGAACCGAAAAUGUAAUGAUUCGAACCAAAUUCAAACAUAAAUUAGUAAAUAUCCGAAUCAUAUUUAAAUUUAUAACUCUAUAAAUCUGAAAUCUGAAAUCCGAAUAGAUCAAUUGAAUAUGAACGGAUAUCUGAAUGUCUAUUUAUUGAAAAUCUAUAAGACAAAUCUCUUAUUACAACGUAAAAUAAAUAAUCUAAUCAAUUAUUUCCCUAUGCGUACAUCGCAGGUUACUACCUACUAGCAAAGUUAUUUCUCUAUCCCAUUCUCUCCAAACAAACAAUCACUAUAUCCAUAAUGCUCUCUACUUGUUGUCAUGACAUUGACAAAACUGUUUUGUUCGUAUAUGUUCAUCUGCAUCUCCAUGUUUGUUCUCGCAGGUAGGAAUUAGUACACAUUGUGUUUUAUUAAGCAAGAAUUUAUAAAAUCAAUUAGUAAUUCUUAAAUUUUAUGCGUCUAGAUCCUUUAAGCAGAAUAUUUUAUAAGAAAACCAUUGAGAUAACUAUUUUGGGUCCACAAUAAAAAUAUGAUUCAAAUAUGAUUAGAUAGGUAGAAGAAUAGUUGAUUAGAUAUCCCUUUAUUAUUAAAAGAGAAGCACUUUUAGAGACUAACCUUUUGUUCAUGUGUUAUUAACAAGAAUGUCAUUUCCUAUGUGGCAACACCAUAUUCUUUCGCAGCCUCUUUAAGUAAAAACAUUUUCCUUACUAGACUUAUUACGUUCUUUGCCAUUAUUCAUUAAUUGUAGCUUAACAUAAUGUUUUAGUCAUGUUAAUUGGUUACAUGCGUUGAUAUGGGAGGUAAUAUCAAAUCCGGUAGUUUGUCAACCUUUUUGUUAACGUGUUUUAUUCUUAAAAAUCAUCAACGCAGUUAUUUAUGGUUUCAUCAAUAUAUCAAACUGAUGGGAUCAUCAUCGAGUAAAACCGGUUUAUAUAAAAUGGUAUAAUUGAAAUAUAUCAAAACGAUCUUAAAUAGUAUUGUUUUAUUUUCAAAACGAUGUCUUUAAAAAUAAAUGGAUAUUUAUAUACCGGUUUAUAAAAUGGUAUAAUCGAUAUCACAAUAUAUCAAAACGGCUUAUUCAAAACCGUUCUAUAUCAUUAUAAAAUGUUAUGCUUUAUAUCAUCAAAUGAUCAAUUCCUUUGCAUGUUAACUAUGUUUUAUCAAUGCCAUAAUUCUCAAUGCAAUAUACUAUUUGAUCGUUUUAUGGCAGUUUAUUGUUAAUGAAUCUGAUUCACUCUUCAAAUUAAGCAAAAUAAAUAUAUUCCUACGUUAAUUAGUUGCAUUAACUCGCUUAAUUUAAGUUUUCUAAAGAUCAAAUAUGAAUUGUCAAUCACAUAUUACUUGCAUGACAUAUUGCAUGAGCUGUCAUACUAUUCUAAAUUAGGAAUGUAUAAUAUUUUAAUAUGACACUAAUUUGAUUAUAUAUGUACGUGUUUAUAACGAACGAUUUUGGUAAUGACAUUGAUAAUUUAAACCGAAUCACAUGUCAUAUAGAAACUAAAUUUGGAUCAGGUCAAAUUUUAAAUGCAUAUGUGAUCAUCACUGAUUGAUUUUUAAAUUUAAUUUGAUUGACUAGAUCCUCAAUUUGUUUCCUAUAAUAUUACAAUCCAUUGUUUCAAAUAUUUAUUUAGAAGCUAUUAAAAUUUCCUAGCGAGAAAAUGGAUUGCACAAUAAAUUUUAUUUCCUAACCUCAUUCCUCUUUUUCUUCGUCACAACACUGAUAGAGAAUAAAUUGAAAGUGUCAAUUUUUACAAUAUGAAAUAGUAACGUUUUUUAGUCCAGCCCAUCUUUUUCCUUAAAUGGGUUUAGAACUAUUUUCAAUGAUUAACUAAAUAGGACACAUAUAUAGUAGAAUGUGUUUUUGGUACAAAAAUUAAGGCAUACCUGAAAUAAAUAUGAACCAUCAUCACUUUCGUUUAAAAUUUUGUUACAAUAAAAAAUAUAGGGUUGAGAAAAAUCCGAAUCCAAAAAGCCUAACCAAAUCUAAUAUGAAAAAUUAGUACUGAAUUUUAACCAAAAUUGUAGAUAUCCGAACGGGUUCAAAAUUUUACUAUAUAGAGAACCGAAACCAAAUCCGAUCCAACAAAAAUAUUUUAGGUAUCCAAGUACAUUCAAACCAGAUUUAUAUACUUUAAUAUAUUAAUUAUUUUUAAAUUUAAUAUCUAAAAGAAUAUAUAAAAAUAUAAGACGUUUUUAAGUUGUCAAAAAUACUUUGAAAUAUAUACAAAUAGUUUAUAGUACAUAUUUAAAAUAGCUAAACGAUAUUUAAAAUACCAAAAAUACUUAAAAUAUCUAUUGAUUUUCUAUCCAAAUAUUUAAUCUAAACCAAAUUUUAUGUUAAGUUUAAGUAUUUUGGCAUACAUUAUUAAAUUUAUAUGUGAAAUAUUAUUUUUAUUUUUAGAUUUUGAAAAUUUAAAGUAAAUAUGAACUUUUAUUUUAAAAAAAAAGUUUAAAUGGAUUAUCCGAACCCGCAAAAAUCCGAAUUGAACAAAAUCAAGCCAAACCAAAUGGUAUCCGAAUGUCAAUCCCUAAUCAAAUGUAAAAACUGAUUAUUGAUAACAAAAUAUGUAUUUUUUAUAAUAUUUAAAUAUAAUAUAUUUAAAAAGAAAAUUCAUUCCGCGCAGGGCGCGGGUUAUCAUCUAGUAAGAUAAUAUAUCACUUAACAUCUAUCAUACAUUUUAUUAGAAUUCUAGGUUUAGAUACUUUAAAACUAAUUAUUUUAAAAUAGCAUAUAUGCUCGUACGCUUAUGUAAAUAUAUACACUUAAAUCUACUUUUAUGCUCUUUUUAAAUUUUGUUUGUUUUUAGCUUUUUUUUGGCUUUGCCAAGUUCAAAUAGAACUGAUAUAAGAACAUUUAGUGUGACCUUGAAGUUUAACAAACCAUGCAGUUUUCAAGAAUGCCAAGCACCUUGUAUUCAGAACUACAAGGGGACUGGCAUUUGUAUCGGGAAAAACAACAGUAUUUGCAGUUGCGUUUACAGUUGCUAAGCUUAUAUAUUAGUAUGGCCGAAGAUCUUGGCCCUUCAUAGCUUCACUUUUCAGAGAAGGUUUAAAAGUGACCGUUAUCCAAGUUUGGACCUUGAGCUCUACGACAUUGUUACAGUUAAAUCACUCUUGAUGCUAACCCAAUUUACAUAAAUUUUGUAAAUAGUCGAUUAUAAUCCAAUUUCGAUUAGCAAUGUCACUGGAUAAAAAAAAAACUUUUGUAAGAACUAGCCUUGUGCUAAUUGAUCUGACCAUCCUUUUUAGUGUUUUAUAUUUCUAUCCGUUAUGAAGACUACUUUGUUUCAGGUUAAUAAAAUAUGAUGAUGUUAAAAAGCGUUAUAUAAAAAAGAAGAUAAUAUCUGACACAAAUAUUUUUAAAAUAAUCUAUACAAUACUAAAAGUAACAUAUCCUCAAUUGUGGUUGUGCCACGUAGGCAAAAAUAUUCAAAAAACCGCAAUGGAUUUUUCUUUGUUUUUAAUUUGUUUAUCGGUAAAGCCCAUUAGGCCCAGUUCAUUUUUGUGAUUUACCCUAAUUUCUUGUACCACCUCUUACAGUCUCUGUUCUUCCUUCUUCUUUGACGAGAGUGGAGAAAUCGGCGAUUGGAUUUCUCAACGGAAAUCGUUUCAACGCCACCACCCCAUUAAUCCAUCUCUGCGCCAUGAAUUCUUCUUUAAUGGGUUCGUUUUGCCUUUCUGUAUCUCCUCCUAUUUAUAUUGGGUCAUUUCUGAAAGGAUUCAAUACUCUCAAAAAUCUCAAGAACGAUGAAUCCCAACAUCAAGACAUUUAUGGUACUGCGCCCUGAGGCUCUGGACCCUGAAAGCAUCUUGGAUGGCAACUUGGAUGAGGAAGCUGAAGAUGGAAAGGGGAAAUCUGCCGAUGAGAAGGUGAAGAAGAGUUCUGAUGUUGUUGAGUCAGCAGAAGUCUAACGGGGCAAUUGUGGCUGAGAUUUCUUAUCACUGUGUUUUUGGUUUUAUUAAAAACUAUGCAUUGUUACUUUCCUUUCUAAACUCUGUUUUUGCAGGAUUAUAACCAUUUCGGUAUUACUAUCUAUUGGUUCACUUA